AAUGUCUAUAACUCCUUCAUCUAGACUUGGAAUUCGUCAAAUAGUAUAUGUAAAGUGUAGCCAAGAAAUUUUUCUCUUCAAUUCUAGUUACCGAUCUUUCAUUUCUCUCCGUACGCAUAUGUUAUGCUUCAAAGAGUGACAAUAGAUACAAAUUUGAUACCUCAACUUUGAACACCUAUAUCUCCUUCACAAAAUCUCGAAAUUACACAAAAUCUUCACCCAAAUUAUACUUAAAAACUUGAACUUCCUGACCUUAGCCUCCAAAGCUCAAAUAACUUUGAAAGAAGAAUCCUAAUUCCUAAUAAGGCCUCAGGCAGCCUCCUUGAAGCCUAUUAGACAUGGCUUUCGACCAAUAGGAAUGAAGGUCUCCAUUCCUUGCCUUCAUCCAACCAUACCUUACUUUCAUCCCCCUCAAUAAACCUUCUAUUAAUUAAGAUUUUCUUCUUUAGGCUCUAAUCUCCUCUCAAGGCUUUAUACUAAACAUUAAGGUCUUA
rnacentral:lncRNA from 1 species